GUUUUAAAGAAUGCACAAACAUUACAUUUACAUUAAACGUGUGCAAAUUCACCCAGUUGUUCAUAGCAGAAAUAAAAGUGAUAAUGAAAAAGUACAUGAAGUAAAAUGAAUGAAUGAAUGCUGGGUCUUCCCACUCCUGGAGGACACUGGCCAGUCACAAUAUUUUUGUGUUAUAAUUGAACUGUUACACUCAUGACUUCCCCUCGAAACCAUUUCAGUAUUUCAUCAAUAUUAACAUAUGUAACCCCUAGUAAUGGUUUCCCAAGUGAAGUAUUAAGAGGGUUGACUUGUGUAGUGUUUAGGACUUCCAUAGAACACACACAUUUUCAUAUUUGCGUGAUUUAGCUGAUGACCUAGUAGACAUUCCAUCAUAGAGGCAGGAAUUGGCUAAAUGAUCCUGUAUGUUGUGCAUGAGAUUUCCAACCUCCUACC